rnacentral:rRNA from 1 species
GCAUGCAAGUCGAACGAGAACCAGGGCUGUAGCAAUACAGUUCUGGGGAAAGUGGCGAAAGGGGCAGUAAGGCGUGGGUAACCAACCCUGGGGACGGGGAUAGCCAUCCUAACGGAUGGGUAAUACCCGGCGACGUAGCGAGUUCGCAUGUGCUUGCUACCAAAUGAGUUUCGCCCUGGGACGGGCUCACGUGCUAUUAGCUUGUUGGCGGGGUAACGGCCCACCAAGGCUAAGAUGGCUAGCGGGUGUGAGAGCACGACCCGCGCCACUGGCACUGAGACACUGGCCAGACUCCUACGGGAGGCUGCAGUCGAGGAUCUUCGGCAAUGGGCGCAAGCCUGACCGAGCGACGCCGCGUGUGCGAUGAAGGCCUUCGGGUUGUAAAGCACUGUCGAGGGGGAGGAAGCUCCGAAAGGGGUUGACCUAUCCCUGGAGGAAGCACGGGCUAAGUUCGUGCCAGCAGCCGCGGUAAGACGAACCGUGCGAACGUUGUUCGGAAUCACUGGGCUUAAAGGGCGCGUAGGCGGAUAUCCAAGUCAGGGGUGAAAUCUUUCAGCUUAACUGGAAAACGGCCUUUGAUACUGGAUGUCUGGAGUGAGAUAGGGCAUGCGGAACUUCCGGUGGAGCGGUGAAAUGCGUAGAUAUCGGAAGAACACCGGUGGCGAAGGC